GUUUGUUUUCUAAGGGAUUAAAUGUAAUAGAAUUUAUUUGGUGGUAAUUUUUAAUACAAAAUGUUUACACACUAAAUUAUAAUAUAUUUAUGUUUGUUACAACCCUAAACGUUUGAGCUAGUGCGCCGCCAUGUUGCCCGUGCAGCACUAGUGACGUCACUAGGUUGGUUGGUUGAAGAGCCCAAGUACAUAGCUUUGAGUCACGGUUAAGGAAAAGAGCUUGUUGUUUGUCAAGAUUAUGGAUGAAGACGAAGCUGAACGGGGUUUUGAUCUGGUUCCUAGAAACCCAAUGGUUUAUGCGUUCGAGCCGGUGAGGAGACGAAACAGAUUAUUGGUACAAACUCCGUUUUAUACAGAAGAGCAGCCAGCGGUUCCUGUACAGGUGGAGAGGGUCGGUAACACUAACUUUACCUGGUGCAGGCGCGGUCACUGCACUGCCGUAUUUGCUGUCAGGAGGCUAACGUGGAGCAUGUGCUCAGAGAUCUUCCCUGCAGAACCCUGAGCAGAACUUUUCAGAUGCUUGUCUGAGAGCAAGAAUUUUUGGAGGUAUCUAUUCUCUCUCUAUGUGAGGUCCAUGCAGAAACCUUGCAGCCCGUCAACAGCAGGCGUGAUCUCCUCUGCGUUUGAGACGGCUGUGGUUAUAGAGGGCGUGAUGGAAACAGAGGAGAACUUUGUCCUCCUCCUCGACACAGGAAUGGAGCUGAAGCUACGCUGUCAUGUCAGGCAUGGUAUGAUAUAAAGAUGGUCCUGAAGGAAGUUCAUCCUGGGUGCUAUGCAAGCUGGAACCACUUCUGCCUCUAGUGGUCUGUGAGCUGCAGACAUGAUAACUGACAUGAAAAUCAGUGCAUGUACUAUAUUGAUUUGGCUUUAGUCCUGUCUCUCUGUGUCCCCUCUCCCAUGGCCCACUGCCACUCUCUCUUGCCUGGCUUUUGCUGGUAAAAAGGGGUCAGUUACACCGGUAAUUCCAAAUGAAAUCUAUCAAUCAGAUCAGGCUAUAAAAACCAUGCUUGUUUGGCAUCAAUCUAAUAUCUGGUUACACCGAUCCAGUUUCUUGUUAAACUCUGAACUAAACAUUAGUUUGUUGAAUUAACCUUAAUCAUUGUCCAAAAUCACUAUUGGGUUUGUAUUCUUAAAUAUCUGGAGCAUCUUAUUAUGUCCCUCUUUUUGAAUCUACAAAGAACUUGUUUUUGCUAAGGUGUGUGCUCUCCAGAUGCUGCACAAAUAGUUGGACCAGAGUGGAAGAUUGAGAUUUGUUUUUGGACAAGCAGCACAGAGUGGCACUAGGAGUAUCAGCACUGCCUGCUUCAGCACCUUGGACCCCUACUCAGGGCGGUGUUCUUAUUUAUUAGUGAUUUUACUGUGGGCUUCUCAUGGUAAAGAUGUGGACUCAUGUUUCCCAGGUGCCUGUGUUCUGGAUUUUGCUGUGCAGUUUCCCUUAGCGCCUGACAACAUUUGCACUGAGGUCCUAAAUCAACACUAGUGUUUGCACUAGUUAGUAACACUUUAACAGUAAUGAAUGAGGAGACCAACAAGGAGGUAGCAUUGUUCAGCUUAACUUUACUGCAGCUCUCCCUCUGGAGCCUGUUCACUCUAGUGCAAGUAACAACAACACAGGGGAGGGAGGAUAUUAACUUCAAAAUAAGAGUCUCAGUUAAACUGCAGCACAAUACACAACAUUCCUCCCUGCUAGGACACAAUGGAUAACAUUAUUUUGCGAAUAUCCAAAAUACAGGCAGUUUUUCAACAUGCAUAACUGUAUACAUACAAACAACCUGUUUUUCUUGCUUCAGUUCCUGUCUGUUUUUUUUGUU